CGAGGGGCUGGCCGAGGGCGGCGCCCUGUCCCCGGUGCAGCGGGCGUUCACGGAGUGCCACGGACUGCAGUGCGGCUUCUGCACCCCCGGC
rnacentral:tRNA from 1 species